CAUGUAGGCGGAUUGUUAAGUCUGGUGUGAAAGCCCGGGGCUCAACCCCGGAAGUGCAUUGGAUACUGGCAAUCUUGAGUAUGGGAGAGGAAAGUAGAAUUCCGAGUGUAGGAGUGAAAUCCGUAGAUAUUCGGAGGAACACCAGUGGCGAAGGCGGCUUUCUGGACCAAUACUGACGCUGAGAUGCGAAAGCGUGGGGAGCAAACA
rnacentral:rRNA from 1 species